AGUCAGGAAAUUAACAUGCGGUAAUCAGCUGUUCACCAUGUUUACAUGUUCUUUCGAAACGAGAAGGAAUACACAAUCAUUCAUACCCCCUGAGACUAGCAAAUUGGAAGGACUAAUCAGUGUUAAUAGUGGAUAUAGUAAUUAGAAAAUUAUAGUGUUUAUGUAACUUCAAAGUGUGAUGCAAGGAAUUGAAAUGACAUUUAAAUAUAGUUAGGCCCUAUAAGCUGUUCAGUGUUUAAAGAAAAAACUUACAUCAUGAAAUUACGAAUAUUUUAUUUGAACUGUAGAAACACAGUGGGAUAUGUGAAUUGUUUACAAGGAAGCUGGUGUCGGUUGAGAGUAGCCCAUAUGUCGUCCAUCAGGCCAAAAAAAGUGGAUGUCAUUGAUUUGACUACAGAUGACCAACCAGCCAAUACACCCCCACCAACCCAUACAGACAAUAAGAGGAGUAUAAAUGAGAUUUCGAAAGGGCCACAGUUAGAUAGUAAUCUGGUUCACAGUGGUUCCUCACAUGGAGUGAAUGGUGGAGAAAACUGGCUCUCUGAUGCAAUGUUUCGACCAUUCGGUCCAUUAAAACAGGCAGGGCAAGGUGUAAUUAGACAUUUCAAGCGAACCAACAAACCAGUGCAGACUCUGGAGAAGGGACCACUAGCACCUGGAAGUAAACAGAGAGUUGGAUUAGAUGCAGAGGUAGAGAGAAAUGAACCACAAAGCCAUGUGAAGAGGUCGCGGAGUGAACCUGCCAUUGAACCAAGAGAUUCCUUACCUAGAAAUAGAGAGUGGGAGUUAACUCCCUUUGGUAAGGUAUGCCAAACAAGGGCUCAUCACGGGCUUCCCUUCUCUCUGAUGUCUUACAAUGUGCUGGCCCAGGAUCUUCUCCUGGACAACCAGUACCUGUACCGGGACCACCCCACACAAGUUCUGGACUGGGAGUACCGCAAACAGAAACUUUUGCAGGAGUUUAGUGCCCAUCAACCCGAUGUAAGUUAAACAAAUCAGUUCAUGGCCUUCAGUCUCCUAGAUGUUAGUCUGGUAAUAUUUAUCAAAUGGGAUCAUUUCCAAUUGGAAAAUAUUUGUAAACAAAAUUUCUUUACUAUUCAAAUAAGAUACAUUUGAUAUGGAUUUCAAUUUUUAUGUAACUUAUCAACAAGAAUAUAAAGAGCAGAAGGACAAGAACUAUGCAAUCUUCAAAAAUAUUCUUUAAUAACAUGAACAAAAGACAUAUACAUUUCCACAAUUUGGGAUAGAAAAUACAUCUUUCAACUAUAAAAAAAAUCAUGUACCGUAAAAAAUAAUGGGACCUGUGGAUGUCCAUUAGGGAUAGAAGAAAUUUUGAAUUGUACUUCAAAUAAUAAUUGUUUGGUACAUGUACUAUAUGUACAUGUAGAAGACAUGCUAGCUCAAGCAGCAAUUAUUUAUCACCAUUUAUCUUCAACAUUUCAGAUUUUAUGUAUGCAAGAGGUCCAAGAGUCUCAUCUGGAAGAAUUUUACAUACCACAACUCAAGGCCUUAGGAUAUGAAGGCGAGUAUCUUCGAAGAACGGGGGGAAAGGUGGAUGGCUGUGCUACAUUUUACAAGAAAGACAAAUUCAGUGUUGAAGAAGCAAGGCAUGUCCACUACUUCCAAGAAGGCUCUUCACUUACCAACAGAGAUAAUGUAGGUCUAAUUCUAAGACUCAUACCUCUAAACGGACAGGAAGGAUUCUGUGUGGCAAAUACACACCUGCUUUACAACCCUAAACGAGGGGACAUUAAACUUUUACAAUUAGUGAAACUCUUGGCAGAGUUAGACCACAUGAUACCCGACUUUCGGAGUGUACCUGUUAUACUGUGUGGAGAUUUCAAUGCUCGUCCACAUAGCUUCAUGUACAAAUUCAUUUCACAGGGAUAUCUGAGGUACCAUGGCUUACCAAUAGAAGGUAUCUCUGCCCAAAGGUACGGUAAAGGUAGAAAGCUAUUGGACAUGGGCUUGAUUCCUUCAAAUCUAACAAUCUCUGACCAGUGUCACUAUCUAGAAGAACAGCAUGUGAAAAUGUUGAGGGAAAGUCCAGUGUUGGAAGGACAGUUCCACACUUAUCAUAGCUCACCCUAUCACCAUUUCCACUUUCCCCAGGUGUCACAGAAUUCUGGCUUUUUGUGGCAUAAAUUUCAUCUGAUCUCUGCUUACAAACAUUUCAUUGAAAGGACAGGAGAGCCAGAGGUGACAACACAAACUAAUCCUUUUGAUAGUUCUGUGGUAGACUAUGUGUUUUAUACAGUGGAUGGAAGGGAGAGCAAAUCUAGAAGGGGAAAUUUCAGUAAUAGGAAUGUCCAAGAAGGCAGGAUCAAACUUUUGGGCCGUUUGGGCUUACUGUCUCAAGGGGAGAUCAGUUCCGUCGGAAAUUUACCAAAUUUUCAAAAUCCAUCCGAUCAUAUGCCAUUAAUGGUGAAAUUUCUUCUCACGUGACCAAAAAAAAACCCUCUGAAUAUUCGAUUAGAUUUCCCAAAAGUGACAAUGUGUAAAAUAAUAGUGAAUAAAUUCCUACGAACAGAAGAAAGAGGUUCAAAUUUAGAACCAAUAUCUUAUUUAUUUUAUUGAUUAUUAAUAUGCAGUGUUAGAUUUUGAUACAUUCUGUACAACUCUGUGAUGUUCAAAAUAAUCACAUAAAAAGAUGUUUUUACUACUGGUACAUUGUACUUUGAGUGUUCUGAAAAUUUAAAGAGAGAAUCAACUAUACAGUUUGAUUUUUAUAAUUUUAUUGAUAUCUGACAAAAAUAUUCACCAAAAGAUAAACAACAUAAAAAGACGAUAAAACUAGACA
rnacentral:misc_RNA from 1 species